GAUGAACGCUGGCGGCGUGCCUAAUACAUGCCAGUCGAGCGAACAGACGAGGAGCUUGCUCCUCUGACGUUAGCGGCGGACGUGUGAGUAACACGUGGAUAACCUACCUAUAAUACUGGGAUAACUUCGGGAAACCGGAGCUAAUACCGGAUAAUAUAUUGAACCGCAUGGUUCAAUAGUGAAAGACGGUUUUGCUGUCACUUAUAGAUGGAUCCGCGCCGCAUUAGCUAGUUGGUAAGGUAACGGCUUACCAAGGCAACGAUGCGUAGACGACCGGAGAGGGUGAUAGGCCACACUGGAACUGAGCCACGGUCAAGAGUCCUACGGGAGGCAGCAGUAGGGAAUCUUCCGCAAUGGGCGAAAGCCUGACGGAGCAACGCCGAGUGAGUGAUGAAGGUCUUCGGAUCGUAAAAAUCUGUUAUUAGGGAAGAACAAAUGUGUAAGUAACUAUGCACGUCUUGACGGUACCUAAUAAGAAAGCAACGGCUAACUACGUG
rnacentral:rRNA from 1 species